UGCAACUCUUCUGCUGCAAAAUGGCGCC
rnacentral:piRNA from 1 species